rnacentral:misc_RNA from 1 species
CAUUGAUCCAAGAUGGCGGACAAAACAAACUUUUGACAGUCUUUUACUUCUCUCCCUUAAAAAUAUCUUCCCCUCCCCUGAAAAACGAAAAUGAGUGCAGGAAGGAAUUUAAGGCCAGAGACUACGUCCUAUAAGGAAACUGGCAUACCAUGUGGCAACCCGACGAGGUACAAAAGCAGGGGUGUCAUCCGCAUGAAUACUAAAGAUGCGACACCCUUUAAAGACCAGAGGUUUGAUCAGCCAGGUGAAGGAACUGAAUCAGAGGCAGAGCAACAGCUCAAAAGAAUGGUUCAAAAUCAAUUGGAUACAACUUUGACAAUUGAGAGUCAGAAAACCAAGCAGAGGGCCUUCACUUCUUCAUCAGUAUACAAAAGCUAUGACCCCAAGUCUGCAGGACAAUUAAGCUUGAAGGACUACAAGACCUUAGAGGAUCGAAAGAAAUAUGUUGAAACACUUGAGCAGUAUGAACUGACAGAGGAAGAGAUUCAGUUUAAACUUGAACAGGAGGGGUAUACACCUAAGGCACCAAAGAAAUCCAAAUAUGGUGCUGAUCCCAAUGCAGAAUCUGAAAGACUUCGACAACUACAGAGAAAAGUUGAAGAAAAAGAGCAGAGGUUAGCAAAACCAGACUCAUUCUCCAAUGUGCAGACUCUCAGUAGACAUGCAAUGGAGGUGGAAAGGUCGUUGAACAGAGGAACAGAGAAGGCAACGACUUUUAGUCACUUGGUUCAACUAAAUGCUGCAGGUUCUUCUGUCAGUGACGAUCCUAUAUUGCAAACCCUUUUGGCCAACAGACUCUCUAAAAACUUAGUUAAACCUNUUGACCAAAUAUCACAAGAAAGUCAAAAUAUGCAGGAGAUUCAAGAUGACAUAGAAAUUGGACCUCCUGAAAAACCCGUGUCUUCAGAUAAAAAUACUGGCAGAAAGUUUGGCGAAACCUCCUUGGAUGGUAGGUUAAACCUCCACGCAUGCGUUGUUCCUGUCCUUGAAGAAGAUAUUAUCAAAAAUAGGCUCACACUAGAAGAGAUUAGAGGAAUUCCAAGAUUCAAUGAUUACAGUCCAGGAGAACCAAGUAAGACUUUGUACCUAAAAAACUUAAGCUCCAAAGUAACUGAAGAAGACUUGGUGUCAUUGUUCCUGCGAUUCCAAGGGGAAGACAGCACCAAGCUUGUUUUUCGUUUGAUGAAGGGGCGAAUGAGAGGACAAGCUUUCGUUACUUUUGGAGUAAUUGGUUAAAACAAAGUACGGAGCACUUAAGUGAAGAGUCAGGUUGUGAGUGAGUUAAGAGUUCUUUCCUUGGCAUACCACAGAUAUUGAGACAGCGAGCAAAGCGUUGAACCUAGUGAACGGAUACGUUCUGAAGGACAAACCAGUAAUCAUUCUCUACGGUCAACAGAACAGUGG